GCGUCGCAAGGACAUUAUUUGGAGCAUCGCUGUGUAUUGUCUUGCGGAGACAGUGUCGGGAGCUCUUCCCUUCAGGUUCUAACUUGUUCGUGUUGAGAGGCUGGAUUAAGGAGCCCCUUUUUCAUGUGCCUGAGACGAUUUAUCGGAGUGCAUUUGGUUGUGCCACACAGGAAGGGAAGCAAAAGUUUCAGUUUUAUUUUGAUUUUCGUGUUGAGGUUUGAUAAGGAGACAUUUUAACCAGCCGGUCGUAGCCUAAUGGGUGCCGUGCUGGACACCUCUGUCUGUUUACAAACUAUCUUAAUGACAAAACAAGUGUACUGGCCCGUCUGUGACUUGGUUGCCUAAAGGCAAAGCUCUGAGAUUUUAUGUUUAUUCUCUUGCUCCUCUCUUGUUCAGUGUUGUCGUGAGUGUCAGCAUCGUGUCAUCUGUCAAAUGAGAGGUGACGCUAUGAGGCAGGACUUAAGGGCUUUGGGAAACUUUAUAACUGAGAGCCAGCAGCUCUCCUUUGACCUGUCAGGACUCUGGGACCCCGGGCACCUCUGGGGGCCUGUGGCCAAACCAAGGGCUGUAGGAGCCGCUCUGGCUGUGGGGCAGGUGCCUCCACUAGCCCUGGGAUCUGAGGGUCGUGUGUGUUGCGCCUGUUCCCCUUGGCCGUGGCGAAAGCAGACCACCUGGGCAUCUGUGGUGAGCAGACGCUUAGGUCUGCAUGUGGAGGAGACAGCCUUGCUGAGGGACCUCGGCUCUGGAGCCUGUGGCCUUGGGUGGGCACCUUUGUUGGGGAGGGACGCCCCUUGCCACCCUCUGACCCCCACCGCCAUGGCCUCUUGGCCAUUCUCUCAACAGACUCAUGUGCUCUGUCCUCGGAUCUGCCCGGAUCCCUCACUUCCUCACUCUUAGGCCCAGUGAGGGCAGGCCUUCCCUAUCUUACCUAGAAUUCCAGCUCGCCACCUCCGGUUUCCUGAUUCCCUUUCCUGUUUAAUUUCCCACAGCACUUAAUUCUUCUGAAGUCUCUUUAGUACGUUUGUUACGCGUAAUCCUUUACUGUGGGGUAAGGUCCACAGGGUGGCUGUUUGGUGCGAAGAACAGUUCCUGGCACACACUCUGUGCCCGGUAAACACUGGUCGAAUGAAGGAGAGUGAUGAGCUUAGCAGCAGCUCUGCAGCACAGCGACCUUGUCACUGGGAAGUCGUUGUGGGUGAGUGCUGAAUAGUUGGGCGCUGGGUGCUGAGGGAGGUCCGUGGCAAGUCAGCUCCCUCUCAGGAGAGGACAGCCAGUCCAGAGGCAGGGCGCAGAGGUGAUCUGUGCGGGACUUCCCUGUAAAUCUUUUUGCCACUUUUAGUCUCGAGUUUGCUCAGAACCAAAAGGUUUUGUCUGAUCUGCCACUAUAACGAUGCUUUUAGAAGUUUUGUCUUUGCCGCCCCCCGCCCCAGGUAAAGCCCACAUGCUGUUCAUUUGUUGAUGAAGUGGCGUGAGAUGCAGUAAACUGUUCGAGUCACAGGGAAGUGAGCCGUUCCUGACCCUCGGCUCGCUCUCUGCUGUGAGGCUGUUGUGAGCACACUGAAUCCUGCUUUGUGACUAAAGGACUUGAGUCGUUUGCAGAAUCUUCACGCAGAGUCAGGCUGCCAUGGCAGACCAGCGACAGCGCUCACUGUCCACCUCGGGGGAGUCGCUGUAUCACGUGCUGGGGCUGGACAAGAAUGCAACCUCGGAUGACAUCAAGAAGUCCUAUCGGAAGCUGGCCUUGAAGUAUCACCCUGACAAGAACCCCGAUAACCCGGAGGCGGCAGACAAGUUCAAGGAGAUCAACAACGCCCACGCCAUCCUGACCGACGCCACCAAGAGGAACAUUUACGACAAGUACGGCUCGCUGGGUCUCUACGUGGCCGAGCAGUUCGGGGAGGAGAACGUCAACACCUACUUCGUGCUGUCCAGCUGGUGGGCCAAGGCGCUCUUCGUCUUCUGCGGGCUCCUGACCUGCUGCUACUGCUGCUGCUGCCUGUGCUGCUGCUUCAACUGCUGCUGCGGCCGGUGCAAGCCCAAGGCCCCUGACGGCGAGGAGACCGAGUUCUACGUGUCCCCCGAGGACCUGGAGGCGCAGCUGCAGUCCGACGAGCGGGGAGGGCACUGACACUGUGCGGGAGUGUUGGUGGUGGCGGCGGGACUGUUGUGUGAACGCGGACGCUGGAGAGGCCGCAGACGCUCCGAUCGCCGUCCAGCCGGCCUCGGCCACGGAGACCACCCAGCUCACGGCCGACUCGCACCCCAGCUACCACACCGACGGGUUCAACUAAGUUCAGGAAGAGCUGCAACGAGAGGGUCAGCGCCCGGCCGGCCGCUCAACCUUAGAAUCAUGAACUGUAGUCACAGAGCUGGCGCGGGAGCCGCUCCGGCCACGGGAAGGGCAGCGCCCGCCCGCCCGCCUCUGUGCCCGCCCGCCAUCCGUCGAUCCCGACCCACGAAGCGCGUAGCAUGCAGUAUUUAAAGCAGUUUAGCUACGGUCUUCUGUUGUUCCUUUCUUUGACAGCAUGUAUGGGUUCUGUUCCAUGUCCGUCUGUGUUGUGGGCGUGUUGCAGCCAGGCCGUGUUCACCCGGCGGGGCGGGGGCAGGGGGGCGCCUCAGGGCUUUCAGUCCGGUCUGUGCCCUGGGUGGAUGGCCCGCGUGGCGCCUCGCGGCCAGGCGGGCCCAGACAGGCUGGGAGCUGUGGGGUCUGCCCGCUGCCCUCUGUGCACGACCGUGUGGCCGCAGGCAGGGCCGUUGGACUCAGGCGCCUGGCGGGAGCUGGGCCCAGCCGCCCGGCGUGGCCCUUCCGUGGUGUUGGUCCCGAGGACAGUCUGUGCGGCCUCUUCGCCUUGUGGGCUCGGCCUGGCAGCGGGCGUUCCCCGUGUGCGGCUGUGGCGGUCGCUGCAGGAGGCUCUGCUGACCACAGUCUUGCCGUGUCGGACCUGAGGCCGGUCCCCGCCCCCUCACCAGGCGUGGGAACGGUCCCGCACUUGCCCAGGCCACGGGCCGGAUGGACAGGGCCCCCUCCCGCAGCCCCGCUCCCCCCGCCCGCACCUUGUCUUCGCCCACAUCUCUGCAGGACCCCCUGGCCCUUUCGGGACCCCCUCAGCAUCGCAGAUGGCAGCAGUGGCCCGGGCCUCGGGAGUCGGGGGCUGAGAGUCCUGGCUGCCGGUGGCGAGCGGCCGUACAGCCCUCCCCUGUGCCACCCAGAGCGCCCAGCCGCCCCCUUCCUUCGCAUGGUCCCUUUGGCUGGUGUUGAUGGCUCGGGUAGAGCUAGAGGCAUCGGACUCAGAGGAAGGACCAGCUGGACCAAAGGCGCACUCUGGGUAGAGGGGUGGGUUCCAGGAGGCCCUGGGCCCUUCAGCGUGUUUGCCCGCGGCCAGGCCACGGAAGCCCUGGGAGGGCGCUCCUGCCUGGCCUGUGCGUGACACUGCCGGGUUUCUGCAGAACGAGCCGAGGGAACAGCCAGUGGGAAGGACGGGGUGGGGGCCGCACGCAGGGAGGUCAGACGCACCUGAAGUCACUGGCGGCAUCGGCGGCGUCCCCUGUUCCCCCUCCCCCCCCCCCGCCGCCGCCGCCGUGGCCCGAGCACUCCAGGAGCCGUGCUGGGGGAGGCCCCGUUUUGUUGGGGGUUUUGUGCGGGAGGAUGAUCACGGAGGUGUCCAGUGAGGGAGGUGCGCCCUGAUACUGAGCUAGAAGGGCCCCGGGCUUGGGCUGCUGGGAGGGUUAGGAAAUGCACUGUCUCACCGCCCAGGACGGGGAGGAGGCCCCAUGCAGGGCGGUCUUCACUGCCAGUUCCCGUCCAGCAGCAGGAGUCCAGCCCGAGGGGGAGGCAGCCAGUCUUCCUGCUGUCUCUGGAAAUAACUAGGAAGUGAGUUGUUUGCCCCGAACGGCCAAGAACCCAGCUCAAAGCUUCGGGCAGGAAGCCGCCCCUGCACCGUGUCUGUGCUCUUGCUUUGUGUCCAGAAGCACUGAGGCCCGUGGCACACGCCAGUGGUCCCCUGCCGGGGGUCUUUCGGUUCUAGAAUCUUACGGAUCGUCUCCUAGAAACAUGACGCUCCCUGGAGGCCCGGGUGGCGUGGGAAGGAGGGGCAGGUCUGGGUCGAACCCGUCCCCUGUGGGGUUUGUAAAAAUGAGAUAAGUGGUGAGUGAUGACAGCAGCCCUCAAGCCGAUGCUGAUGCUGCCCCGAGGCCCAGGCCCCCGGGAGCUGAGCCCGGGUCUGGACCACCCCCCGCCUGACCCAACCCGAAGCGUGUCCUCUCUGGGGUCCGGGGCAGAAGCCUUUCCCAGGGGUCUACUGUCCACACUCGCAGGCCGCCUCCUGGCUGGAGACCAAGGUCCCCGGGUGCCCUUUGCCCGCGUGGUUGUCUGUUCUCUGGGGAGCAGUGUCGUGUCUGGAGGGGUGCAGCCGCGCCUGUGCUCGGCAAGGACAGCUCUCUGCCUGUCGUGGUGGGGACAGGCGUGCUGUGGGCCUCACGCUAGGUGGCCCGCCGUGGCCAGGGCUGGGGGACCCGAGGGUGGGUGGGGACAGGGCUGUGCACGUCUCUGUUUGUGCGUGGUGACUGGUUCCCGGGCCUUCGGGCCUUACCCUGCUUCCCGCUGCUUUCGCUGUGAGCCCUCCCGCUUCUCUGGUCAGUCGAGUGGGACCGCUGGGCAAAGCCUGGGCGCGCUGGGCGGGGCGGGCGGCGUGUCCACACCGCUGGCCGGGGAGCCCGUCCGGGGCGGCCUGGUCAGCAUCUGGAGGGAGUGCGCCCGGGAGAGCCCUGCCUGUCCUGGCUCAGUGCGUGCGCCCGGGGGGCAGCUUGGAGGCUGUGGCAACGGGCCUGAUCGCAUUCCUCUGGCGGCUUCUGAGCUGUGAACUCUGUGACCCGGGACUCACCUGUUGCGCUCCUCCUCCUGUGGAAUUGGCAGCCAGCUCCGUUUCCUCCUGUCGUUUCAAGCACGGUUGGCGUCGUCUGCUGUAGGUGUGGGCGUAGUGUGGGUGUAGUGUGUGUACAUAUGUGUAUAUGUAUAUAUCACGCAGCAGGCGUGACUGCUGCUAUCCAGUGGCGAAGCAACAAGUACAAUAAAAAUCGGCUCCAAAUUGGCCUCUGGUUUCUUGACGAGUCGCGGUGGGAGCCGGGCCUCAGUGUCUGGUGUCUUGCUCCUUGCGCGGAAGGCGGCACCGACCCCACUGUGCGCCCGGAGCCGGUGCCUGCCCCCUGCGAGUCCAGGGUGGGGGCAGGACCACCCAGGCGGCGACUGGGCAAGCGCUGCCCAUCCCUCCCUGGGCCCCGUUGCUCUCCUGACCCAGAGGUGGGUGGCACGGCCCUGUGACACUCAGGUGGCUGGAAACCCUCCCUCUCUUUAAACAUGAAAACCAGUUUAUGCACCAGAUGGAGUCUGACAGCUGUGCUCAGAGGGCCCCUGUCCUGCACACAGACCCACCCUGCGGGUUCCUGAGGAAGACGGGGCCACACCGCCACCCUCCAGGAGGGGGCUGGCCGCGGCGCGUCUCUGGAAAAUGGGGUGAUGUGGCGGGGGAGGCAGUUUACACUGAAACGUUCCCGACGUGGUGAGAAGCUCUGUGCGGGUGUGGGAACCGUUGUGGUCCCCGUGCUGCUCUCGUCCUCCUGGGGCCUGACCUCUGCCCUGGCGCCUGUGCACACCGGGGGCCAGUCUCUUCUGUCUGAAUGUUGACCUGUGAUAAAGAUAACGUGUAAAAUAAAUGUUUUCACCGCA